rnacentral:rRNA from 1 species
GGACUACCGGGGUAUCUAAUCCCGUUCGCUCCCCGCGCUUUCGCGUCUCAGCGUCAGGGACGGACCAGGGAGCCGCCUUCGCCACGGGUGUUCCUCCUGAUCUCUACGCAUUUCACCGCUACACCAGGAAUUCCACUCCCCUCUUCCGUCCUCAAGCCGGGCAGUCUCGGGCGGCGUCCCGGGGUUGAGCCCCGGGCUUUCACACCCGACUUACCCAGCCGCCUACACGCGCUUUACGCCCAGUAAAUCCGGACAACGCUCGCCCCCUACGUAUUACCGCGGCGGCUGGCAC